rnacentral:rRNA from 1 species
GAUGAACGCUGGCGGCGUGCCUAAUACAUGCAAGUCGAGCGAACAGACGAGGAGCUUACUCCUCUGACGUUAGCGGCGGACGGGUGAGUAACACGUGGAUAACCUACCUAUAAGACUGGGAUAACUUCGGGAAACCGGAGCUAAUACCGGAUAACAUGUUGAACCGCAUGGUUCAACAGUGAAAGACGGUUUUGCUGUCACUUAUAGAUGGAUCCGCGUCGCAUUAGCUAGUUGGUAAGGUAACGGCUUACCAAGGCAACGAUGCGUAGCCGACCUGAGAGGGUGAUCGGCCACACUGGAACUGAGACACGGUCCAGACUCCUACGGGAGGCAGCAGUAGGGAAUCUUCCGCAAUGGGCGAAAGCCUGACGGAGCAACGCCGCGUGAGUGAAGAAGGUCUUCGGAUCGUAAAACUCUGUUAUUAGGGAAGAACAAAUGUGUAAGUAACUAUGCACGUCUUGACGGUACCUAAUCAGAAAGCCACGGCUAACUACGUGCCAGCAGCCGCGGUAAUACGUAGGUGGCAAGCGUUAUCCGGAAUUAUUGGGCGUAAAGCGCGCGUAGGCGGUUUUUUAAGUCUGAUGUGAAAGCCCACGGCUCAACCGUGGAGGGUCAUUGGAAACUGGAAAACUUGAGUGCAGAAGAGGAAAGUGGAAUUCCAUGUGUAGCGGUGAAAUGCGCAGAGAUAUGGAGGAACACCAGUGGCGAAGGCGACUUUCUGGUCUGUAACUGACGCUGAUGUGCGAAAGCGUGGGGAUCAAACAGGAUUAGAUACCCUGGUAGUCCACGCCGUAAACGAUGAGUGCUAAGUGUUAGGGGGUUUCCGCCCCUUAGUGCUGCAGCUAACGCAUUAAGCACUCCGCCUGGGGAGUACGACCGCAAGGUUGAAACUCAAAGGAAUUGACGGGGACCCGCACAAGCGGUGGAGCAUGUGGUUUAAUUCGAAGCAACGCGAAGAACCUUACCAAAUCUUGACAUCCUCUGACCCCUCUAGAGAUAGAGUUUUCCCCUUCGGGGGACAGAGUGACAGGUGGUGCAUGGUUGUCGUCAGCUCGUGUCGUGAGAUGUUGGGUUAAGUCCCGCAACGAGCGCAACCCUUAAGCUUAGUUGCCAUCAUUAAGUUGGGCACUCUAAGUUGACUGCCGGUGACAAACCGGAGGAAGGUGGGGAUGACGUCAAAUCAUCAUGCCCCUUAUGAUUUGGGCUACACACGUGCUACAAUGGACAAUACAAAGGGUAGCGAAACCGCGAGGUCAAGCAAAUCCCAUAAAGUUGUUCUCAGUUCGGAUUGUAGUCUGCAACUCGACUACAUGAAGCUGGAAUCGCUAGUAAUCGUAGAUCAGCAUGCUACGGUGAAUACGUUCCCGGGUCU